rnacentral:rRNA from 1 species
CCUACGGGAGGCAGCAGUGAGGAAUAUUGGUCAAUGGACGAGAGUCUGAACCAGCCAAGUAGCGUGAAGGAUGACUGCCCUAUGGGUUGUAAACUUCUUUUAUAUGGGAAUAAAACAGGGUAUGCAUACCCUCUUGUAUGUACCAUAUGAAUAAGCAUCGGAUAACUCCGUGCCAGCAGCCGCGGUAAUACGGAGGAUGCGAUCGUUAUCCGGAUUGAUUGGGUUUAAAGGGUGCGUAGGUGGUUAAUUAAGUCAGCGGUGAAAGUUUGUGGCUCAACCAUAAAAUUGCCGUUGAGACUUGUUGACUUGAGUAUAUUUGAGGUAGGCGGAAUGCGUGGUGUCGCGGUGAAAUGCAUCGAUAUCACGCAGAACUCCGAUUGCGACGGCAGCUUACUAAACUAUAACUGACACUGAAGCACGAAAGCGUGGGGAUCAAACAGGAUUAGAUACCCUUGUAGUC